rnacentral:lncRNA from 1 species
CUGAUUUUUGCUAUUACUUUUUUAAACCUAAUGGAUGACAUUUGUAACUGGAAAGGAUGAGUCAGAGUGUGCUGUGCCAGUAUGGGGUCUUUCUGGUGUUUUCAUCUUGCUUUUCUUCCUUCUUUGGCUGGGACCAUUCUGUUUUUUCCCAAGGAAUGUGUAUUCCCAUGAAGAGCUUUUGGAAAAUGCAUGCAUGGCAAUUACUGCACUGGAGGAAUCUCUCUAAUGGAUGCCACUCUUACCAUGAAAAAGAGGCGUUUGAGCUAUCUUCUCAUUAAGAGGACUAUAACAGAGGAAACAACAUUACUAGAGAAAUCUAAGCAGCUCUGACUAAGAAGACAUGGCAAACGUAGAGUGGGUACGGCCUCUUGCUAUGAAUCCAGAGGCUCAGGUCUGAGUCUUACGUCCUACAGUAGUGAGGGCUGUCCCCAAGUGACCCGGUGCAGAAAGGGGAUAAUCGGAAUUAGGCCAUUCGAGGUAGCCGGAAAGGCAACUGCCACUGUCACUCCCUCGUGUAUCGCUGACUACAUGGCAGAUGCUGGCUCACCUUAACCAUACCUGACUGUUUGCCUGGGCUCGGCUGAACUGGACAGAUCUCAGUGUAAUGACCCAGGUUCUGAUUAGUGCCUUUGAACUGUGUUAAAAAUUUGAAAUGUGAACCUUGACUGUGAUCUUUCUUGUGUGUAGGAAUUUUCCUGGUGCAACUAACUAAAAUUAAUCCAAAAUCUUCCGAGCUUCACAUGUUUAAAUUUGGAGAAAAAUGGGAAGGUAUUUCACCAUGGUUUCCUUUUUCUUUUCCACUUCUUCUUUGGCUGCUACGGUAAUAUGCAUUGAAAUAGUGAUCUGAAAGAAUCAUGAAGCAUACUCAGAAAAAAAUAUGGAAUGAUCAUUAACAAUGUGCUUCAAUAUUUAAUCAAAAUAAAUCCAACAAGAUAAGUGUUUUCCA